UUCGCCCUUUUCCGGUUGAUCCUGCCGGACCUGACUGCUAUCGGAUUGAUACUAAGCCAUGCGAGUCAUUGUAGCAAUACAAGGCAGACGGCUCAGUAACGCGUAGUCAACCUAACCUAUGGACGGGAAUAACCUCGGGAAACUGAGAAUAAUGCCCGAUAGAACACUAUACCUGGAAUGGUUUGUGUUCCAAAUGAUUUAUCGCCGUAGGAUGGGACUGCGGCCUAUCAGUUUGUUGGUGAGGUAAUGGCCCACCAAGACUAUUACAGGUACGGGCUCUGAGAGGAGUAGCCCGGAGAUGGGUACUGAGACACGGACCCAGGCCCUAUGGGGCGCAGCAGGCGAGAAAACUUUGCAAUGUGCGAAAGCACGACAAGGUUAAUCCGAGUGGUUUCUGCUAAAGGAACCUUUUGUUAGUCCUAGAAACACUAACGAAUAAGGGGUGGGCAAGUUCUGGUGUCAGCCGCCGCGGUAAAACCAGCACCUCAAGUGGUCAGGAUGAUUAUUGGGCCUAAAGCAUCCGUAGCCGGCUCUGUAAGUUUUCGGUUAAAUCUGUACGCUCAACGUACAGGCUGCCGGGAAUACUGCAGAGCUAGGAAGUGGGAGAGGUAGACGGUACUCGGUAGGAAGGGGUAAAAUCCUUUGAUCUAUUGAUGACCACCUG
rnacentral:rRNA from 1 species